rnacentral:rRNA from 1 species
AUUGAACGCUGGCGGCAGGCCUAACACAUGCAAGUCGAGCGGAUGAAGGGAGCUUGCUCCUGGAUUCAGCGGCGGACGGGUGAGUAAUGCCUAGGAAUCUGCCUGGUAGUGGGGGAUAACGUCCGGAAACGGGCGCUAAUACCGCAUACGUCCUGAGGGAGAAAGUGGGGGAUCUUCGGACCUCACGCUAUCAGAUGAGCCUAGGUCGGAUUAGCUAGUUGGUGGGGUAAAGGCCUACCAAGGCGACGAUGCGUAACUGGUCUGAGAGGAUGAUCAGUCACACUGGAACUGAGACACGGUCCAGACUCCUACGGGAGGCAGCAGUGGGGAAUAUUGGACAAUGGGCGAAAGCCUGAUCCAGCCAUGCCGCGUGUGUGAAGAAGGUCUUCGGAUUGUAAAGCACUUUAAGUUGGGAGGAAGGGCAGUAAGUUAAUACCUUGCUGUUUUGACGUUACCAACAGAAUAAGCACCGGCUAACUUCGUG